AUUGAACGCUGGCGGCAGGCCUAACACAUGCGAGUCGAACGGUAGCACAGAGAGCUUGCUCUCGGGUGACGAGUGGCGGACGGGUGAGUAAUGUCUGGGAAACUGCCCGAUGGAGGGGGAUAACUACUGGAAACGGUAGCUAAUACCGCAUAAUGUCGCAAGACCAAAGAGGGGGACCUUCGGGCCUCUUGCCAUCGGAUGUGCCCAGAUGGGAUUAGCUUGUUGGUGAGGUAAUGGCUCACCAAGGCGACGAUCCCUAGCUGGUCUGAGAGGAUGACCAGCCACACUGGAACUGAGACACGGUCCAGACUCCUACGGGAGGCAGCAGUGGGGAAUAUUGCACAAUGGGCGCAAGCCUGAUGCAGCCAUGCCGCGUGUGUGAAGAAGGCCUUCGGGUUGUAAAGCACUUUCAGCGGGGAGGAAGGCAAUGCGGUUAAUAACCGUGUUGAUUGACGUUACCCGCAGAAGAAGCACCGGCUAACUCCGUG
rnacentral:rRNA from 1 species